CUUUGAAGUCUUGGCAACUGUGUUUGACUGUGGCUCUGAAGGCCAGGCCUUCAGACCUUGGGUGGAUCCCUAGGAUGUGGCACAUGGCUUGAGUCUACUCUUGAGGUCCUCCAGUGAUCUACUGGUUAGAGGCACAACUCAUCUACCUGCAUAUUCUGGAGCUGAAAUGUCCACCUAUGGAGGAGGUUCAAUGAAUUUUGGAUUUGUACAACAGAAGAAGAAACAAUGUGAUGAGAAGUCUACCUCUUCAAAAAUCAUUGAAUGUAUCUGAAAGGUCAUUGCAUCACUGGACAGAAAGUUCUGUAAGGGAGAGCAAAUAUGAUAUUUUCUAGUUCUGUCCUCAGCCAUCCCAGCUGGAUCCAGGAAGAACAGGUGGGAUAGUUGCUAGGAACUUGCAAAAUUGUGCAACAUACUGUUAUAUUUUAAAACUGUUUUGGAACUUGGGGGUCAUGUGAUGUUCCUGAUGUAUAAUAAGGAUAAAGACAAUAACAGUUACUCAUUCUCCAUGUUUUUCUACAAUCAGAGCUAACUAUUUUUCUGACUGAUGACUGUGCUUUUCUUCAAGAGAAUUUGGAAAUAUGCCUUUCUUUCAAGAUAAACUUGCAGUUUCAGGGAAGAGACAGAUGUGGCUGGGCUGCAAAGAGGUUUUGGGAUUCUAGGAAACAUGGUCAGAUACCUUAAUACAGGAUUGGGUAUUGAUGGAGUGACUGUUUUCUCCUCUAAAGGAUUAAAGGAGGAAACAUCGAUUGCAGAUCAUUGAUCAUAUGGAUUUUGGAUAUUCCCUUGCCUCUGUCCUGCAGCAUUUUACACUUAGCAGUCCAAGCUUUGGUUGAAUUCGUUGAACUGCUGUCUCCCAACACACUUUCUAAAUGUUUUGUUCUUUAUACUAAUGCACCUCAGAGAAGCUCAUCCCUUCUCAGGAUGAUGCAAAUCCAUCCAUCUCAUUGUUAGGUGUUUCCAGUCAAUGUGUGUGAUUCCUUUCCUUAUGUUUUCCCUGGUUAACUCCACCAUUCAACAUGUUGCAUGUUCCUUUAUCUAGGUGCUCUCUGGGUUCCUCCCGAGCAGUGUGACUAAGCCCUGCUUGCUCAGCCUGCCACCACCUGCCAAAAUCUCCCAAGUGUUCUGUAGCUCAUCUCCCAUCUUCUUGUGCAUCCCAAAAUCUGUUGAAUGGUAGGAUCUUUCACUUGCUCCUCACCCUCAGUUUGAAGUAGAGGUCCGUGAGCUGGAGAAAGCAAAUGCUUAGUGUAGCUGUUUGAUUGGAAAAAAAGAAACAAAAAACCCCAAGUAGAACAAAAUAUCAAUGAUUAAUGGAUAUCUAAGCAUUCGAGUCCACUUCUGACUCCAGGUAGCUACUGACUAACAGUUUCAAGCAUAUCCUAGGAACCAGCACCUUAGAAGAUGAGUGGCUGGUUACCAAAUGCCUAGUGCCUUUUCUUUCCUUUCUCCUCUGUACCAGUGUGUUCUAGGAUAUGAGCCUUUUUGUCUGUCCCGGUGUAUUAGAUCAUAUCUCCUUAGCACACUUGAUUUCAUCUUUCACAACAUGGUUGAGGUUGGAAGAUGUCUCUGGAGAUCAUCUGGUUUCAUGCCUUGCUCAGUGCAGAAGCAUCUAGAGCAAGUUGUUCAGAGCUGUCCUGAUGUAUUUUGGAUCUCUCCACAGACUGAGACUCUGCAACCUCUUUGAGUAAUGUAGUCCAGCAUUUGACUACCCCAACGGUUAAAAAAAAAAAAAAAGGCAAGUGAACAUCAUAAUAAAACUAAUUAAAAAUUAAUGAGUUAAAGCAGGACUUAUAUUCCUAUAAUUCAGUUUUUGCCUUGUGCACUGUCACUGUGCCCUGCUGAGAAGUCCGUCUCUGUUGUCUUUGCUCAGACCCGUAAGUAUUUAUGCACUAAGAUAAGAUUUCUCCAAAGCUUACUCUUCCCCAGGAAAAACAGUUCUAUCUCUCUCAGCCUGUUCUGUAUCAGAUACUACAAGCCUUUAAUUGUCUUAAUGGCCCAUCUUGUUGGUUCCUCUGCAGUAUGUGCAUGUCUCUCUUGUACUGGGGUGCCCAGCACUGGUGCCAGCAGUCCAGAUGUGCCUCCCCAACUGAGUAUAGGACAGUUCAGCCAAAUUAGUUGCCCUCACUAUCUGUUUACCUAAUAAUAGCUCAGUUCAUUGGAGCUAUGAUGAGGCAUUUGAGCAAACUGACCUGGGUUAGGGCACCUAUCUCUGAAUUUGGGUGGCUGAGAAACAUGCAGUUCUGCUGCAGCCUUGGUAGAAAAGUAGAGAAAGCAGGUGAGGGUGAGGAUGUUCUGGCUCAGGAAGCUGGGCCUUAGGGAGAAAUAAAUCUGCGCUGGGUCUGUACAGGAUAGUUAUACUACUGAGUAUUCUUUCCGUAAUGUUCCAUAGGAACCCAAUAAAAACAGAAAAUAAAAAAAUUAGUUUAAACCUUUUUAAUAAGCGAGAAAGUAUAAAUUGAAUAUCCUGUGGUUUAUGACUAUAUUAAAUGCAAUUAUAUAGCAUUACCUGCAACAUCAAAUGCAGCCAUAAAAAGCACUUUAAGCAUCUCCACAGCAAUAAAGGUAUCUAAUGUGUAAGAGAGUGAAUAGUAAUCAGCACAUCACCUAUGGACCAAGAUCUUUGGUAGUCAAUGACCUUUUAGCUGGAAUAUGUAGAAAUACUUAACUGUGUUAGUUUCUAGUCUUUUCAUAAAACCUCAUAGGCUGUACUGAAUUACAAUUAACUGCCAUCUCCAGAGUAUAACUAAAUUACUCUGUACUUAACUGAGCUAAAUAACACAUUUGUUUAUCCAGAUUUACUCUUCUGACCCUCUCCCAUAAUGCCCUCUUCUAUUUCAAAAGCAAACAGUUCUGCCUUGCCAUUUUUUAGGAAGAUAAAACUGAACCCAGGCAUUCAAUACUAUGUUGAACUUUGGUUCUGCUGGUAGGUACAUAACUUAUUUGAAUAAGACUCUUCAUAUACUUUGAUUACUAGUUCCAUAAACCUUCUAUGUAGAACUACUUUAAAAUGCUGUUAAGGCAUUUUUCAAUUUUAUAAUUGAGAUGGCAAGUGAACUUUCUUGUGCAGAUAGCAAAAAUACUCAUUUGUUGGACUAAGAACUAAGAAACCUAUAAAUGUAAUUAAUUUACAGAGUCACUGGGUAUACAAUUUGGAAUUUUAAGCAGAGUGAGAGUUUAUGCAGUGCACAGCUCAAAACUGAUUCUUCUGUUUCUCUUUUUUUUUGUGUGUGCCUGAAGCAGGUGGAAGACAAAUUCUAUAUAUAUAUAUUAAUUUUACUGUAGAAUAAGCUACUAAUUUUGUAUUCAGCAAAUACACUGGAUGGGAUGUAAUCAAAUUCAGCUUU